rnacentral:other from 2 species
UAAAUGCUAUGUGGUUUGUGAGAUAAACUAUACCUAGGGCCUUAAUGAUUCUUAAGGGAGCUGACGCUGAUUAGAACCGUGGUUUUUUUCAUUUGGCACCCACCUAUACUAAUAGGGAACCCGGGAUUGUCGAUAUCCACGGCCAUGUGGCAUCAAU